CAGACAGUCAGCCUCAGUCUUCAAUGAGGGACCCCGUACAGAGUAACCCAAACGCUCGUUCCUGUUUCAGGAUGUGAACGCUCUGCGAGGAGGUGGGCAGCCUGUGGUGACUCCGUCCGUCCAGCCCUCUCUUCAGCCGGCCCAUCCAGCGUUACCACAGAUGACCUCACAGGCACCUCAGCCAUCUGUUUCUGGGCUCCAGGCACCUUCUGCUGCCUUAAUGCAAGUUUCAUCUCUCGAUUCCCACUCAGCUGUAUCUGGAAAUGCCCAAUCCUUUCAGCCCUAUGCAGGUAUGCAAGCCUACGCUUAUCCCCAGGCAUCUGCCGUCACCUCCCAGCUGCAGCCCGUUCGGCCUUUGUACCCAGCACCGCUCUCUCAGCCUCCCCAUUUCCAAGGAUCAGGUGAUAUGGCUUCAUUUCUCAUGACUGAAGCCCGGCAACAUAACACUGAAAUUCGAAUGGCAGUCAGCAAAGUGGCUGAUAAAAUGGAUCAUCUCAUGACUAAGGUUGAAGAGUUACAGAAACAUAGUGCUGGCAAUUCCAUGCUUAUUCCUAGCAUGUCAGUUACAAUGGAAACAAGCAUGAUUAUGAGCAACAUCCAGCGAAUCAUUCAG
rnacentral:sRNA from 1 species